AUUGAACGCUGGCGGCAUGCCUUACACAUGCAAGUCGAACGGCAGCAUGGGUGCUUGCACCUGAUGGCGAGUGGCGAACGGGUGAGUAAUGCAUCGGAACGUACCUUUCAGUGGGGGAUAACGUAGCGAAAGUUACGCUAAUACCGCAUAUUCUGUGAGCAGGAAAGCAGGGGAUCUUCGGACCUUGCGCUGAUGGAGCGGCCGAUGUCAGAUUAGCUAGUUGGUGGGGUAAAGGCCUACCAAGGCGACGAUCUGUAGCGAAUCUGAGAGGAUGCGCCGCUCAACUGGGACUGAGACACGGACCAGAAUCCUACGGGAGGCAGCAGUGGGGAACUAUGGACAAUGGGAGCAACCCUGAGCCAGCAAUGCCGCGUGAGUGAAGAAGGCCUUCAGAUUGUAAAGCUCUUUCGGACGGGAAGAAAUCGUGGUGGCUAAUAUCUGCCGUGGAUGACGGUACCGUAAUAAGAAGCACCGGCUAACUACGUGCCAGCCGCCACAGUAACAC
rnacentral:rRNA from 1 species